rnacentral:rRNA from 1 species
UCUUGCACAAUGGGCGAAAGCCUGAUGCAGCGACGCCGCGUGAGGGAUGAAGGUUUUCGGAUCGUAAACCUCUUUUCUUAGGGAAUAGUUUGGAAGGUACCUAAGGAAUAAGUCACGGCUAACUACGUGCCAGCAGCCGCGGUAAUACGUAGGUGGCAAAUGUUGUCCGGAAUUAUUGGGCGUAAAGGGUCCGUAGGUGGCUUGAAAAGUCUCAUGUAAAAUCUCUUGGCUCAACCAAGAAACGCCAUGAGAAACUUUCUGGCUAGAGACCAUCAGAGGGAGGUAGAAUUCCAGGUGUAGUGGUGAAAUGCGUAGAUAUCUGGAGGAAUACCAAUGGCGAAAGCAGCCUCCUGGGGUGGCUCUGACACUGAGGGACGAAAGCGUGGGUAGCAAACCGGAUUAGAUACCCGGGUAGUCCACGCUGUAAACGAUGAAUACUGGGUCUUCGGGGAAUCGACCCCUUGUGGACCGAAGCUAACGCGUUAAGUAUUCCGCCUGGGGAGUACGGUCGCAAGACUAAAACUCAAAGGAAUUGACGGGGGCCCGCACAAGCAGCGGAGCGUGUGGUUUAAUUCGAUGGUAAACGAAGAACCUUACCUAGGUUUGACAUAUAAGUGGUAGCGAUCCGAAAGGUGAACCACCCGCAAGGGAGCUUAUACAGGUGCUGCAUGGUUGUCGUCAGCUCGUGCCGUGAGGUGUUGGGUUAAGUCCCGCAACGAGCGCAACCCUCGUGGAUAGUUGUUUUCUUUAUCCAGACUGCUUUUAAAGAGGAAGGUGGGGACGACGUCAAAUCAUCAUGGCUCUUACACCUAGGGCUACACACACGCUACAAUGGAUAGUACAGACGGUUGCCAAGUCGCGAGAUGGAGCCAAUCCGAAAAAGCUAUCCCCAAUUGGAAUUGUAGGCUGAAACUCGCCUGCAUGAACGUGGAGUU